AAGUCGACGAGAAAGUUCCUGCUUGCAGGAGCGAGUAGAGUGGCGAACGGGUGAGUAACGCGUGGAUAGUCUACCUUAGAGUUUAGGAUAACACUUUGAAAGGGGUGCUAAUACUGGAUAAUAUUUAAUGCUCUGCGGGGUGUUAAAUCAAAGGGAGCCAAUUCAAGAAAGCUUUUGCUUUAGGAUGAGUCCGCGUACCAUUAGUUAGUUGGUGGGGUAAAGCCCUACCAAGGCGAUGAUGGUUAGCUGGUCUGAGAGGAUGAUCAGUCACACUGGAACUGGGACACGGUCCAGACUCCUACGGGAGGCAGCAGUGAGGAAUUUUGUGCAAUGGGGGGAACCCUGACACAGCGACGCCACGUGAGUGAUGAAGGCUUUUGGGUCGUAAAGCUCUGUCAGUGGGAAAGAAAUUGUAUAUGGUUAAUAGUCAUAUAUAUUGACGGUACCCACAAAGGAAGCACCGGCUAACUCCGUGCCAGCAGCCGCGGUAAUACGGGGGGUGCAAGCGUUAAUCGGAAUUAUUGGGCGUAAAGGGAGUGCAGGCUGUGGAAUAGGUCAGAUGUGAAAGCCCUGGGCUUAACCCUGGAAGAGCAUUUGAAACCAUUUUACUUGAGUAUGGGAGAGGGUAGUGGAAUUCCUGGUGUAGAGGUGAGAUUCGUAGAUAUCAGGAGGAACACCGGUGGCGAAGGCGGCUACCUGGACCAAUACUGACGCUGAGACUCGAAGGCGUGGGGAGCAAACAGGAUUAGAUACCCUGGUAGUCCACGCAGUAAACGUUGAUCACUAGGUGAAGCGGGUAUUGACCCCUGCUGUGCCGUAGCUAACGCAUUAAGUGAUCCGCCUGGGGAGUACGGUCGCAAGACUAAAACUCAAGAAAUUGACGGGGGCUCGCACAAGCGGUGGAGCAUGUGGUUUAAUUCGACGCAGCGCGAAGAACUUACCUGGGUUUGACAUCCUGAGAAUUUUUCUGAAAGAGAGACUGCCCUCAGGAUCAAAGACAGUGCUGCAU
rnacentral:rRNA from 1 species